rnacentral:rRNA from 1 species
GAUAAACGCUGGCGGUGCACAUAAGACAUGCAAGUCGAACGGACUUAACUCAUUCUUUUAGAUUGAGAGCGGUUAGUGGCGGACUGGUGAGUAACACGUAAGCAACCUGCCUAUCAGAGGGGAAUAACAGUGAGAAAUCAUUGCUAAUACCGCAUAAGCUAGUAGCAUCGCAUGAUGUAGCUAGAAAAGGAGUAAUCCGCUGAUAGAUGGGCUUGCGUCUGAUUAGCUAGUUGGUGGGGCAACGGCCUACCAAGGCGACGAUCAGUAGCCGGACUUGGAGGUUGAACGGCCACAUUGGGACUGGGAUACGGCCCAGACUCCUACGGGAGGCAGCAGUCGGGAAUAUUGCGCAAUGGAGGAAACUUUGACGCAGUGACGCCGCGUAUAGGAAGAAGGUUUUCGGAUUGUAAACUAUUGUCGUGAGGGAAGAAAUUGACAGUACCUCAGGAGGAAGCUCCGGCUAACUAUGUGCCAGCAGCCGCCGUAA